UAUUAAAAAUUUCAUCUAUUUAUACUGUUAAAAACUAGCGGGGUUGCAGAAUAACUAGAUAUUAAUAUGUGACGUGCCAUGUGUACAUCAUGCUGACGUACAAAGACUAAUUUUUAACAGCGUAAAUGGAUGGAAUUUUUAACA
rfam:Gossypium raimondii Chr10_contig_203, whole genome shotgun sequence.